rnacentral:rRNA from 1 species
CACGUAGGGGGCGAGCGUUAUCCGGAAUUACUGGGCGUAAAGGGCGCGCAGGCUGUUAUGCGAGUCUGCUGUGAAAUGUACCGGCUCAACCGGUGCCUUGCGGCGGAUACUGCAUAGCUGGAGUACUGGAGAGGGAAGUGGAAUUCCAUGUGUAGCGGUGAAAUGCGUAGAGAUAUGGAGGAACACCAGUGGCGAAGGCGGCUUCCUGGUCUGUAACUGACACUGAGGCGCGAAAGCGUGGGGAGCAAACAGGA